rnacentral:rRNA from 1 species
CGAACGCUGGCGGCACGCCUAACACAUGCAAGUCGAGCGCUCUCCUUCGGGAGGGAGCGGCGGACGGGUUAGUAACGCGUGGGAACAUACCCUUUUCUACGGAAUAGCCUCUGGAAACGGAGAGUAAUACCGUAUACGCCCUUCGGGGGAAAGAUUUAUCGGUUAAGGAUUGGCCCGCGUUAGAUUAGAUAGUUGGUGGGGUAACGGCCUACCAAGUCGACGAUCUAUAGCUGGUUUGAGAGGAUGAUCAGCAACACUGGGACUGAGACACGGCCCAGACUCCUACGGGAGGCAGCAGUGGGGAAUCUUAGACAAUGGGCGCAAGCCUGAUCUAGCGAUGCCGCGUGAGUGAUGAAGGCCUUAGGGUCGUAAAGCUCUUUCACCAGGGAUGAUAAUGACAGUACCUGGAAAAGAAGCCCCGGCUAACUCC